rnacentral:rRNA from 1 species
AUUGAACGCUGGCGGCAGGCCUAACACAUGCAAGUCGAGCGGAUGAAGGGAGCUUGCUCCUGGAUUCAGCGGCGGACGGGUGAGUAAUGCCUAGGAAUCUGCCUGGUAGUGGGGGAUAACGUCCGGAAACGGGCGCUAAUACCGCAUACGUCCUGAGGGAGAAAGUGGGGGAUCUUCGGACCUCACACUAUCAGAUGAGCCUAGGUCGGAUUAGCUAGUUGGUGGGGUAAAGGCCUACCAAGGCGACGAUCCGUAACUGGCCUGAGAGGAUGAUCAGUCACACUGGAACUGAGACACGGUCCAGACUCCUACGGGAGGCAGCAGUGGGGAAUAUUGGACAAUGGGCGAAAGCCUGAUCCAGCCAUGCCGCGUGUGUGAAGAAGGUCUUCGGAUUGUAAAGCACUUUAAGUUGGGAGGAAGGGCAGUAAGUUAAUACCUUGCUGUUUUGACGUUACCAACAGAAUAAGCACCGGCUAACUUCGUG